ACCUGCGGAGGGAUCAUUACACAACAAAAUAUGAAGGCCUGGCUUUCGCGGCCGGCUGAAGUAUUUUUUUCACCCAUGUCUUUUGCGCACUUGUUGUUUCCUGGGCGGGUUCGCCCGCCACCAGGACCAAACCAUAAACCUUUUUUUCUUAUGCAGUUUCCAUCAGCGUCAGUAAAAACAAUGUAAUUAUUACAACUUUCAACAACGGAUCUCUUGGUUCUGGCAUCGAUGAAGAACGCAGCGAAAUGCGAUACGUAGUGUGAAUUGCAGAAUUCAGUGAAUCAUCGAAUCUUUGAACGCACAUUGCGCCCUUUGGUAUUCCAAAGGGCAUGCCUGUUCGAGCGUCAUUUGUACCUUCAAGCUUUGCUUGGUGUUGGGCGUUUUUUUGUCUCCCUCUUUCUGGGAGACUCGCCUUAAAACGAUUGGCAGCCGGCCUACUGGUUUCGGAGCGCAGCACAUUUUUUGCGCUUUGUAUCAGGAGAAAAGGACGGUACUCCAUCAAGACUCUACAUUUUUCACUUUUGACCUCGGAUCAGGUAGGGAUACCCGCUGAACUUAAGCAUAU
rnacentral:rRNA from 1 species